rnacentral:rRNA from 1 species
UGGGGGAUAUUGCACAAUGGGGGGAACCCUGAUGCAGCGACGCCGCGUGGGCGAGGGAGCGCCUCGGCGCGUAAAGCCCUUUCGGCGGGGGAGAACGAUGACGGUACCCCGACGAAGAAGCACCGGCUAAAUACGUGCC